rnacentral:rRNA from 1 species
CCUACGGGAGGCAGCAGUGGGGAAUAUUGCACAAUGGGCGCAAGCCUGAUGCAGCCAUGCCGCGUGUAUGAAGAAGGCCUUCGGGUUGUUAAAUACUUUCAGCGGGGAGGAAGGGAGUAAAGCUAAUACCUUUGCUCAUUGACGUUACCCGCAGAAGAAGCACCGGCUAACUCCGUGCCAGCAGCCGCGGUAAUACGGAGGGUGCAAGCGUUAAUCGGAAUUACUGUGCGUAAAGCGAACGCAGGUGGGUUGUUAAGUCAGAUGUGAAAUCCCCGGGCACAACCGGAGAACUGCAUCUGAUACUGGCAGGCUUGAGUAUCGUAGAGGUAGGUAGAAUUCCAGGUGUAGCGGUGAAAUGCGUAGAGAUCUGGAAGAAUACCGGUGGCGAAGGCGGCCCCCUAGACGAAGACUGACGCUCAGGUGCGAAAGCGUGGGGAGCAAACAGGAUUAGAUACCCCAGUAGUC